GACGAACGCUGGCGGCGUGCCUAACACAUGCAAGUCGAACGAGGUCCAUGCAGUGGCAACACUGCGGACGACCUAGUGGCGAACGGGUGAGUAACACGUGAGGAACUUGCCCCGGAGACUGGGAUAAGCCCCCGAAAGGGGGUCUAAUACCGGAUGUCCUCACCGAGUCGCAUGGCUUGGUGAGGAAAUGGAUUCCGCUCCGGGAGAGCCUCGCGGGCUAUCAGCUUGUUGGUGGGGUAACGGCCCACCAAGGCAUCGACGGGUAGCUGGUCUGGGGGGCCGAUAGGCCACACGGGGACUGAGACACGGCCCAGACUCCUACGGGAGGCAGCAGUGGGGAAUCUUGCGCAAUGGGCGAAAGCCUGACGCAGCAACGCCGCGUGCGGGAUGAAGGCCCUCGGGUUGUAAACCGCUUUCAGUGGGGACGAACCAAGACGGUACCCACAGAAGAAGGUCCGGCCAACUACGUGCCAGCAGCCGCGGUAAUAC
rnacentral:rRNA from 1 species